CGAGGCAUAGCUCGGAUGGUAGGGCGCUCGCUUAGCAUGCGAGAGGUACGGGGAUCGAUACCCCGUGCCUCCA